rnacentral:sRNA from 1 species
GCUGGGCGUGGUGGCUCACGCCUGUAAUCCCAGCACUUUGGGAGGCCAAGGUGGGUGGGUCACUGGAGGUCAGGAGUUCAAGACCAGCCUGACCAACAUAGUGAAACCCCAUCUCUA